UAAGGAAUAUUGGACAAUGGGGGCAACCCUGAUCCAGCCAUGCCGUGUGAGUGAAGAAGGCCCUCGGGUUGUAAAGCUCUUUUGUCCGGAAAGAAAAGCAUUCGGUGAAUACCCGGAUGUUCUGACGGUACCGGAAGAAUAAGCACCGGCUAACUUCGUGCCAGCAGCCGCGGUAAUACGAAGGGUGCAAGCGUUACUCGGAAUUACUGGGCGUAAAGCGUGCGUAGGUGGUUGUUUAAGUCUGAUGUGAAAGCCCUGGGCUCAACCUGGGAAUGGCAUUGGAAACUGGGCAGCUAGAGUGCGGUAGAGGGUAGUGGAAUUCCCGGUGUAGCAGUGAAAUGCGUAGAGAUCGGGAGGAACAUCUGUGGCGAAGGCGGCUACCUGGACCAGCACUGACACUGAGGCACGAAAGCGUGGGGAGCAAACA
rnacentral:rRNA from 1 species